CCUACGGGCGGCAGCAGUCGGGAAUAUUGCGCAAUGGAGGAAACUCUGACGCUGUGACGCCGCGUGCAGGAAGAAGGUUUUUGGAUUGUAAACCGCUUUAGACAGGGAAGCAACAAGACAGUACCUGUAAAAUAAGCUACGGCUAACUACGCGCCAGCAGCCGCGGUAAUACGUAGGGAGCAAGCGUUACCCGGUUUUAUUGGGUGUAAAGGGUGCGUAGACGGGUAGUGAAGUUGGUUGUGAAAUCGCUCGGCUUAACUGAGGAACUGCAACCGAUACUAACAGUCUUGAGUACUGGAGAGGAAAGUGGAAUUCCUGGUGUAGCAGUGAAAUGCGUAGAUAUUGGGAGGAAAACCAGUGGCGAAGGCGACUUUCUGGACAGUAACUGACGUUGAGGCACGAAAGUGAGGGGAGCAAACGGGAUUAGAUACCCGGGUAGUC
rnacentral:rRNA from 1 species